AAGCCAUUUUCUUUGUUUUUACCUAUUGUUUUGACUUAAAUCUGUUUUAGCUCAAUUUUACAGCCUGAAAUUUUUGCUAUGCAUUUCACCUUUGAAUUCCUUAAAUUUAUGUUUAUGUUGAAAACACCUGGCUGUGUCUGCAGCUUUCCCCAUUUUUAUAAAGGGUUGCUGUGUCUGAUGAGUCUCUUCCUCUGUCAAACACCAUGUCCUUCUCCCUCAGGUCAGCUUCAAUGGCAUCCUUGUACCUCAGCUUUGGUCAUCCUCUUCCUUUUCCAGGUCGUUCGAUUUCCAGCACACUCAUUCCAACAGAUUCAUUCUCUCGCCUCUUCACGUGAUCAUAUAAUCGUAAUCUUGCUUCUUGUACCUCCACUGAGAUCUCUCUAGCUGUUACCCUCAUGCAUACAUUCCUAAUCCUGUCCUCCCUCGCGACCCUACACACCCAUUUCAGCAUCCUCGUUUCUGCCACAUCCAGCCUUUCUUCAGUUGUCUUCUUCAUUGGUCAUCACAGGUCUCACAAGUGGCUUGUAUGUCUUUCCCCUCAACUUUACUUGAAUCUUCUUAUCAGAGUCACCUGUCGUGAUUUAUAUUUUAUUUGUCUUCCAUCAAGUGCAAUGAAGAUUUGAUACUUUGUAAUGUAUAUGAUACCGUUAUGUAUUUUUUUUCUCCCAGUACCUUGCAAGGGGAGGCCUGCACAGGCUUGGCAGUAUUUUGCCACCUACCGCUGCAGUAACGAUUUUAUUUUUGCUGGUAAGUAUUAACCACACGCGUCAGUCAUAACUUUUUUUUUUUUUUUUUUUUUAUCCCAUCUUUCCUCCACAGUAACCAUUAAAAUCCACAAGAAAAAUGAAAAAUCCAAUUAAGAAAGGCACUACCUAGGCCACUUGACAUGCCCAAAAUUGUUCAUGAUUUACUUAGAAAAAAAAUGAAAGGAUUAACAUAGAAAUCAAGAUAGAUGGUGAAUACUUAAAAAAAAGCCUUAGAUUUGUAUAUGCCAAUGCAUGUAAGGAAAACUUGGAAAAUUAUCGGGGAACUAGAGAACCAAGAAUGUGUAGAGGAAUAGCCACACAUUACUGUAGAACAAACCCAAGCCACGAAAUAUAAAUCGGAAAGAGAAUAAGAAUGAUAUGGAGUGCUCUUGGUAAAAUGCUAUGUAAUGAAUCUGUCACUCCCUGAAGAGUGAAGUGAAAGGUGUAGGCCUACAAUAAUUGUCAGUCAACAUAUUCUCAAACGUUAAUUCAUACCAUUCAUUACGUACCAUCUCUCAGUACAUUAUUUGGUACACAGUUAUCGAGUCCGUAACUGAUUCAGUAAAUAUAUAGGCUUAACUGAUUUCAAAUUUUGUUAGUUCUUUUAAUUUGCGCAUGCGUGUGUAUUUUAUUUAUCUUUUGCAAAUGGAAGAUGCUUUCAGGUUUCUCUUCAACAAUUAAUCGUUUAUUAUCUAAAUUUAUAAUGAAAAUAAUCAUAUUUGAGCGGCAGAAACCGAGGCCCUAUACACACACACACACACACGGCUACUCUGUGGUCAGCUGUACAAUGGCAGACGACGUCAGCAAGGAGAAAACUCGGGCGUCCCUCGGCGGUCGGCAGGUGGAUUUGAAAGUACCAUUCUACUUUGUGCGGCUCCCGUGCCAUUCCGGUGCGUGGUGGCGUGCCACGGCGCUGCUGGAGACAAGCUGCUGACGGGGAGACAGUCGCAGGACAAUGACGAACGAGAGGAAGGCGAAGGGAGAAGUCUGUGGGUGGAAUAAGGAGAGCAGCGGGUGGCAGAUGUUCAGAUGGACGCGGCUGCAAAUCACACGAGACGGAGGUGGUCGCCGACGCCUGCUGGGACGCGUUUCUUCGUGUGCGCAGAAGGGACAGCUGGAAACUUCCGUACACCUGAGCAGGAUAUAUUACAACGCCGUUACCGCCAUUAUGCUUAAGGAAUUUGUACUGUUGCUAAUGUUGAUAUAUCUUUUUGUCACUAAAAAUCUACACUCCGACCACGAUAGAGAUCAUGUAUCAAGAUAUGUAAACAAACUCAGCGAUACACCCAGUCUGCCCAGUGACUUAGAAAACAAUGUUGUGGUUAAGAAAGGACGUGGAUGUACUGGUAAGGACAUGAUCGACAUCUCUAAAUUCUCAACUGAAGAAAAGACAGAAAUGAAAGCAUGUUACCUGAAGGUGAGAUCAUUGAGGUGUGGCGGCAAGUGCAGGUGUAACGACUUGAAGGGAGACAGGAUGUGUUGGCGUGUGCCUAUAACGGCUUCCAUCUGUGGUGUCGACAUUGUUGUAGCCUGCGUUAAGACAAGGAUUAGUAGAGCUGAUGUGUAUGAUGCCGCAAAAAAUAAUAUCGCUUCAUAAAUUUUCGUGAAUAGAGAAGAUGUUCGAGCUGCCUCACCGACAUUACCUGCAGUUAUUAGGGAACUUUACUGUAUGGGGAGAUGGGGAGGAGCAGCCGGCAAGGAAAGUCUCCACCGCUAGUCUAGGCCUCGGAAGCUUGUAAGGAGUUAGCAGCUUUCGAAUCUUGCCAGAAAAUAAGCUGCUCUCGUACAUGCGCGCUUGAUGCAGUGUCUUCUAAAAGCAUGGUGAAGGAGCGAGGAAACGGAUCGUUGUUCAAGAUGAGUUUCUUCAUGGAUUCUGUUUCGCCUCUCACUUGUUGAUGCCGCGACUGAGCGCUCACGAAUGGAAUCACCACUGGAAGAUGUAUGCGAGUGUCAGCCAUGCUCUACAAAGCUGUUGCAUGUUUACAGUUUACUACUUCAAAACGUGACCGUAGAAUUAUGAACAUUUAUGCCUUAAGAACGUGACUGUAGCAUUAUGAAAUUUUCGCUGGAAAAGUUUAAUUGUUUAGGUCUGCAUAGGGGCAAAUAUAUGUCAUGUAAUGUAAGUCUUGAGUGUUCCUUUACUUCCGUAUCGCAAAAAUUCCUCCACUGUCAUGUAGAAUGGCUUCUUUGAAAUAGGCGCCGUAACCUCAAGGAAGCAGCAGCAUGCAGUAAUGUAAUGAGAAACGAUACUCGGCACGCAUGGGCUUUCAAGGAGACGAAAUAAAUGUUGAAAGUGGG